CGGGGCGUAGCGCAGUCUGGUAGCGCAUCUGGUUUGGGACCAGAGGGCCGGGGGUUCAAAUCCUCUCGCCCCGACCA
rnacentral:tRNA from 5 species